rnacentral:rRNA from 1 species
GUGCCAGCAGCCGCGGUAACACGUAGGGGGCGAGCGUUGUCCGGAUUUAUUGGGCGUAAAGAGCUCGUAGGCGGUUCGAUAAGUCGGGUGUGAAAACUCUGGGCUCAACUCAGAGACGCCACCCGAUACUGUUGUGACUUGAGUCCGGUAGGGGAGUAUGGAAUUCCCGGUGUAGCGGUGAAAUGCGCAGAUAUCGGGAGGAACACCAGUGGCGAAGGCGGUACUCUGGGCCGGAACUGACGCUGAGGAGCGAAAGCGUGGGUAGCGAACAGGAUUAGAAACCCCCGUAGUCC